rnacentral:rRNA from 1 species
GGAAGUAAAAGUCGUAACAAGGUUUCCGUAGGUGAACCUGCG